UUGAACAUUUUAAAUGAUCGAAUUAAGUUUGGUCACUACCGGAAAUGGUAUAUUUGAAUCAAAUGGCGCCAGGAAGUGUAGGUGGCACUUCCCGGGCACUGACACCAACCGUUUAUAUACUGUCUAUGCUGCCAGCACCGGCUAACUGUUUCAACAAGGACAUCGCCAAAACAAGAAGAAUGUGAAGAAGAAUGUUGAGCAUGUGUUGGCUGCGUGCAGGAUUCAUUCUACCGCAGCCAUGUGUUGUCUUCUUUACGAAAAAGGCAUGGAUGAAGACGCCAUCAACAAGGCCUUUGAAGAAACCAGUGUUGGGAUUUAUGUUAUUAAAGAACAUGCUUCAAGUGAUGAACCAGGGGACAUUGGUAUUGUCCUUGAAGGCAUCAAGAUGUUGCAAGAUCUUUAUAAUGUAGCAUUACCUGUUGCUACGCUGUUUGGACUAAU